rnacentral:rRNA from 1 species
UACGUAGGGGGCUAGCGUUGUCCGGAUUUAUUGGGCGUAAAGAGCGUGUAGGCGGCCAGGCAGGUCUGCUGUGAAAACUCGAGGCUCAACCUCGAGAUGUCGGCGGAAACUAUCUGGCUAGAGUCCGGAAGAGGAGAGUGGAAUUCCUGGUGUAGCGGUGAAAUGCGCAGAUAUCAGGAAGAACACCCGUGGCGAAGGCGGCUCUCUGGGACGGUACUGACGCUGAGACGCGAAAGCGUGGGGAGCGAACAGG